GGUCGCGCCGCGCCCUGUCCCGGGAGCGGGGGCGGCAAGAGGGCGCGCAUCCCGGCCCGCGCGCCACUCAGCCCGUGGGCGCCCGGUUUCUGCUCUGCGCCCCGCGGCCCCGCAGCCUGGGAGCGGGCGCGGGGCGGGUCCAGAGGCGGGGCCGGGACGCCCUCCCCCUCCGAGGCCAAUGCAGGGGCUGGGACCCGCCGGCAGCCGCCACCACCCGGGCGCGACUCGAGCUGCCAGGACGCUCCCGCUCCGAGACCCCAGGCUCUGGCUCGCUUGGCUAGGGCGUCUUCACCCCUGCGCGGGGACGAUGCGGCGGCGGCGGUUCGGGACGCAGGGCAGGGACAGGGCGGCGCGCCGGCCCCGGACCUUCCGUUUGAAAGCGGAUGGCCUCCCCCGCCACCCCCCGCCGCGACCUACUCCUGGACUUGUGCAGCAGGUGCACGGGCCGAGCCUUGGCCUGCAGGAGUGGGAGCCUCCUCGCCAGACCAAGGGGACCGAGGAAGCCCGUCGAUCCGGGCAUUCGCCCUGCUAAGGGAGAACGAGGACCGGCCAGCACCCUAGUGUGCAGACAGGGGUCCCAAAACGUGUCGGGGAAGUCUGCGGCUGGGAAUGGGAUGCGUCCUACACUUCCAGCUGACAGUCAGGGGUCAGAGACCUUGCCACACAUCAGGGUCACAGCCUGGUGGCUGAGAGGCCAAGUCACCUCUAGUUACAGUUUUAGAAUGGAAGGGACGGGCUCAGAGAAGACAGGCUUCCCUCCCAGGGCCCCAGUGGUGAGCUGAAUUCAGGCCUGAGACCUGCUCUGUCUACUAGGUCACCCCAUUUACCCAGCCUGGUCCACCUGGCGUUCCCCUGAGACGUCAGUGAUGCAUUUCGGAAGUUGGCAAAGUGGCCCCCACUGGAGCCCCUGGCAACCAGGAAUCUACUUUCUGUCUCUACGGAUUUGCCUUUUCUGGACAUUUCACAGAAAGAGAAUCAUUGCUUGAAGCCAAGAGUUCAAGGUCAACCUGAGCAACAAAGCAGAACACCGUCUCUACAGAAAAUUUACAAACUAGCCAGGCGCAGUGACACACACCAGCAGUCCCAGCACUUUGGAAGGCUGACGCAGGAGGUUCACUCAAAACCAGCCUGGGCAACAUAUGGAGUCCCAGUCUCUACAAAAUAUUUCAAAAUUAGCCAAGCACGAUGGACACCUGAGCAGCUCCUCCCUGGCCUUGCAGAUGGGGGGCCCAGGUUCGAUGCUCUGCCAGCUCCUUCCUGUAUGACCCGUGGACUGUGGAUCCCCUUCUCUGAGCUACAAGCCAGAUUCUCCCAAGGCCCCUGGAGGUUUUAGGGUCCACACUGCCCGAGCUCAUCUUGAACCCUGUCUAAGCCAGACGACCAGGCAGAUGGUCUGUCUGUCCAUCCUCCGGCUGUGAGACAUGCAGAGGGUCAGCCUGAUGUCGUGGCUGGGAGGUGAGGAUCUGGAAGGGGAGAUAGGCUGUGCUGCUCCCGAUGCUGGGCCCAGUAAACCUCUUCCCCUGGGGAGGUGCCAAGGAGGGCCAAAGCAGGAGGAGACAGAGAGGGGAAGAAGUGGGGAGUCCUGGGGAGCCAGGCCAUGCUGGGAGGAAGGCCCUGCCUGGCCUCCGAUCCAUGACCAGAGUCCUGGCUGUGGCUCUGCCCCCUUCACAGACUGCAACUAUUUCUUUGUGGGUGAUUUUCAUCCCUGUCUCCACCUACCCAUGAGCUCUACAAGGGCAGAAAUGGGGUCAGUCUUGAUU